CAGCAGGCGCAUUUCUUCCCGCCUUCCGUGUGUGUGUGUGUGUGUGUGUGUGUGUGUGUGUGUGUGUGUGUGUAGGGGACGGUCCCAUCUUAACCAGCCUUGAACCUGUUUGAAAAGCCGCUUCUCCUGCUUUCAGCUUCAUUAUCGACUGGAACGAAAUCCAUUUACAACGCAAGGAGUUGAAGGCCUGCUAGGCACCAGGCAUGUGCACCCCUGGCCUCCAUCCGCCCAGCGCUCAUCCUGUAGAUGAAAGCACUUAGCUCCAGCCUAUCGCGACAGGGUCCGCCGAGCACACCAGCCCCAUUCGCGGUGUCCCUGGCCGAGGCUCGCGCCCGGCUCACCUGUUCCGGGGGGCGAGGUGCGUCCAUCCCUCCCAGGACCCGAACAGCGCGGGCUCCCUCCGCGGUCCUCUUCUACUUUCCUGCCUCCGCCCGGAUCCGGACAUUCGUCUCGGCCUUUGCCGUGCUGUGCGGAGCCCGCACCGACCUCCCGGACAGACACGUGUGCUGUGUCUUCUGGCUGAACAUCGCAGCGGCCCUCAUCCAGACCCUCACGGCCAUUGUCAUGGUGGGCUGGAUCAUGAGCAUCUUCUGGGGCAUGGACAUGGUCAUCCUUGCCAUUUCCCAAGGCUACAAGGAGCAGGGCAUCCCACAGCAGCUGUGAGCCCGAAGGAGCCGCCGAGAAUUCCAGGGUGGUCCCAUGAGGGCUGCACCAGGCCGUGCCAGGCCUCUGCGGCUGCUUUCGUGUUUGGAAUCCUGUGAGUGUUCAAGGCGUGGGACCAGCUUUGGGUUUAUCCAGAAAGCGAGCAGCUUUUGGUGUCUGCAGACGGCAGCUCUGGGCCAAGAAGACAGCAGGCAGCUGCUGGCUGUGCGCCGGGAAGCUGCGUCAGAGAGGGGAGCCCCCCUGCAGCCAGGUCAGAGGAGCUCUGGCUGAGGGACCGUACGGGCCCAGCCACCCCCCGGAGGCCCUUUGCCCCCACACGUGGAGGGACGACGGGCCUUGGACGCACCCCACCGCUGGGAGCGGAGGAUCUCGCUUCCCUGGCUCGGGCUGGGGUGGCUGCUGAGCGGGAGAGAUGAGAUAGCAGGUUAUGUGGCAUGUUUAGUGGUGAUCCAGACACGGGGGGUUUCUUGAGUGAACCCCGUUAUGGAUGGCUAAUACAGGGGUUUGUGGGCUCCGAAGGAUGGUUCCCCUCGGCACCCACCUCUGCCCCUGAGGCUCCCCUCAGCCGCCAGCUGCUUCCACACUUGCGGGGACGUCAGCCUCUGGAAGAAGCCCUUCCCGCGUAGCUGAUGUGUGCGAGGAAUGGGGGCACCCCCGUCCUCUGAACCCCCAGUCUGUGAGGAUUGCCGCGCGGGGAGCAGCUCAAGACAGCCACUGUCUACAUGAGACUGUAGGCUUAGUGUCACCGGCUCAGAUGAGGGACGGGGAGGUGAGGAAGGGCCUUCGCUCCGCUGUCCCAGAACCACGCAUCAGCCCCAACAAGGACAGCCUCCAGAUGUUGGGCCUUUGCCAGGCUCGGCGUGGCACAUUGGACCCCCGAUGACCCUUACCAACAAUCCUGGCGGGGGGACGUCAGUAUGUGGAGCUUCCAGAUGUCAGGACUCAGGCGCCAGGAAAGCAAGGCCCUGGACACGCGCUCACGGCGGCCUAGCGGACUCACGGCCUGCGUCGCAGCCUUGCCGCAGAAGGGAAGGGGUCUCAGGGGCCGCAAGGAUCCUCUGGACGGCCUUGCCUAUGCGGAAGUAGCAGGUGACAGGAAAAACCCCCUCAGCGAGGACUGAAAGGCUCCACCACGCACCGUCCAGGGCGGCCCUCCACCCCACGCCCGGAGCGGCGGCCGGAACUGCUCCAGGCCCUCUGACCCCCCACGUCCCAGAGGCACGGCUGGGACUUCAGCCUCACGCAGACGCCACGAGGGCUGAGGAGCAGUGGGGAGCACGCGAGCUCUAGAAGGUCGAGGACGCCACUCAGUCAGAAUUUCCCCGGGAAGGACAGGGACCCAGACCUCAGCAAGGAAAACGGAACACUGAGCCCCGAGGCCAGCGCAAGGUGGGGUGACCCCCAGGCCCAAGAGAACGCCUUUCGAAGGCCUGAGGCUCUCGAGGAGGAAGCCACAGGUCCACUGCGGGGGUCCUUCUGUGCCAGCCCAGCUCUUUAACCCCCCCCCCAAAUCUACAAUGUUUUCUUUAGUGAACCCCAUGCCUGUGCUGUUGGGGUGAGUUUGCAGGGGUCGCUUGGGUGUGGGCCUGAGCCAGCGUGGGGCCCCAUCCUGCUCCUGGGGCCUGAGGCGCUCAUGACCCUGGAUGUGUUUCUCCCGUUGGUGAUGGUGGCCGCCGUGGCGUGCUGGCGACAGCUUAGGGAUGGAACUGUAAGCCCCCGGCCGGUGGCUCAGGCUCCCCCUCUUGCCGGUGUGUUUGGAGGGCUUUCAGCAGAGGGAUCGGAGGCGGACGAGCACGCUUAGAGCACCCCAGCUGCACUGACCCUCCCUGGAGACCUUGACCUCGCGGGGGGCAGGGGGAGCCAUGCGAGCUGCCCCCCACGAACCUGCCCAAGGCUGAACGGAGCCAGGGUUCCUUCUUCUCAGCAGGGCCCCAUGUGCUGGUGUAAGGCAGUUCUCGCAAGCGGGGCUCCCCAUUCCACAUCGCUGCACCCCUCAAGCACUCAGCGGGCGCCGAUGCGGCCCGAGGGGGGCUCCCAGGAACAGCGCCCUGGCCGCUGCACCCGCCCUUCCCGCCUGCACAGGUGGAACAGUAAGGUGAGCGGAGGCCAGAGGGGCGCUGCUCCCUGCGGAGGAGGCCGCUGCACGUGGCCCGGAGGUGAGGAGGCCAGGCUGUGGGAAGGGAGGCUGGGGGCCGCCUGAGCGGGUGGGCGCUGGUCGGGUCCCGUGUUUUUCAGCUGUUGGGCGCUGAGAGCUUCAGAACGUCUGCGGGAUCACGGAGGCGUGUGAGGCGUGCCGGACUCGCGAAUCUGCCCUAAUCCCCGUGCCGAUGCGUGGGGAGCCCCACGCCCCAAACACUGGGCCGAGUUCCAGCCUCAAUGCUGUUUGUGUCUCCUUCUGGCUUGUGCCUCAGUUGGACCAUCCGUUGGGCGGGGCAAGGAGGGGCUGGGCAGCCAAUGCCGGUCCCAUUUCUAUCAGGCCAGAGGCCUGGGAGGACGGGCCCGGGGCCCCACGGGGGCAGAGGAUGCAGGCCUCACGGAUUUGGAAUUAGGGAUUCUUCCUGGUGACACAGACACGAGCGCUCUUUCCUCUCACCCCUCCCAAUCCUGUCACACGGGAGGCCGAUGACAGGUCUGUCCUUGAAGGUGUCCUGAGUUUCCAGGACAAGUUAGUUGUCUCUGAAUUUAGCCCCCAGUCCCUGUCCCUUCCUGCCUGGAUUUGCCAACAUGCCAGCCACGCCCAGGCCAGGCCACUGGCACCCUAGGCGGGCAGAAGCACAGACACGUGCACACUCUCUUACACAUCCGUGUGCACACUUCCCCGUGCACGCACGCACGCACACAUGCAUGCUCACAGCCCCUCCGGCUACUGGGUGAGGGCAGGACUCAGGACUGGGACCUCAACAUCCACGGAGGGGUCUCUCACACCGCCUGGGAGCCAUCCCUCCAGGCAUGGGCCCUGGCGGGUGACAUUUGUCCUUGUCACCCCACCCAGGGCCCAGAUGCACACAGUUCUCUUGAUCCAAAGGCCCCCUGGCCUGGAGCCCUUCCUCCCAGGGUCCAUGGCUCCAUACCCCGGCCCCCAAACCUGGCUGGCCUUCUGUGGGAGGGACGACAUGGGUCUGCCCAGAGAGGAGGGGACCGUGAUCCCUUUCUGGGCUCUUCUGGGGCUGCAGACAGUCCUCCCCACCCCCCACCCCCCGGCCUCAGGAUGAGAAGCAGUGAGGAGAGAAGGGGGCAGAGGUCAUGCCCACCCUGCUUUCUGGGUGAGCGUCUGGCCAGGUGUCCCAACCAGGGAGAGGGCGGCGGUGGCCACAAGUGGCUGGGGCGCCCCGCGGGAACACUUGGCUGGCCCUCUGCACAGGCUAAGGUACACAUGCUGUCGUAAAUGGUGCCAAAUUUUUGAAAACGCAGUACAUGAGAACAACACUGGUUCUGUGCAUAUUAGCUGGAUUUAUAUUUGGAUGAGUGUCGUGCUGUGAUUUGUAGUUUUUGAUACGUGAUCUACUUUGAUUGGGUCUCUCUCCCUCCUGUGAAAGGAAUCGCUGUUCAUUUCUGUUGUUCUCUGCCAAGACCCUCUCCCCGACCUCCCAGGGCUUCCUUGUUUUACUUCUGCCCAGACCUGCGGGGGCCGCUCCCCACCCAAGCCACUUCCCCUGGGAUCCUAGCUGGCCGAGGGGCUCUCCAGCCCAUCCCAGUGACUGGAGCCUUCCUUGGUUCCACGAGAGGAAGAAACUCUCCGGCUGGGGACCUAGAGAAGCUUCCAGACUUGCCACCUGGGGCCCAGGCCGGCCUGUGGCUUAGCCUUUCCGGUGCCCUCAGGACGGAACCCCCUGGCAGGCCUGCCCACCCCCACCGCUGCCCAGGUCCCUACGGCCCCUUGAGGCGCUGGGCAGGGUCCCGACCUCCCCAGCGCCCCACCAGCUUCGGAAGUCCCAGCUCAAGCACCGUUGCCGUCCUCGUAAUGAGAAGCAGCACGCAUGACCGUCGAAACCCGUGUACAAACCUCCGUGUACAUAUUUAUAUAUUCCGAUUAUAAAUAUACAAAGCGUAGCAUCUCUUUGGCAUUCCAAGUUCGUGUUUUUUUAAAUCCUGAAAAAACGGCUUUAGAAACUUUUUCUUCCUUUCCCUCUUUUCUAUGUAAUAAAUAUUCAUGUGACCUUU